CCUACGGGGGGCAGCAGUGAGGAAUAUUGGUCAAUGGACGAGAGUCUGAACCAGCCAAGUAGCGUGAAGGAUGACUGCCCUAUGGGUUGUAAACUUCUUUUAUAUGGGAAUAAAACGUUCCACGUGUGGGAUUUUGUAUGUACCAUAUGAAUAAGGAUCGGCUAACUCCGUGCCAGCAGCCGCGGUAAUACGAAGGAUCCGAGCGUUAUCCGGAUUUAUUGGGUUUAAAGGGAGCGUAGGUGGAUUGUUAAGUCAGUUGUGAAAGUUUGCGGCUCAACCGUAAAAUUGCAGUUGAAACUGGCAGUCUUGAGUACAGUAGAGGUGGGCGGAAUUCGUGGUGUAGCGGUGAAAUGCUUAGAUAUCACGAAGAACUCCGAUUGCGAAGGCAGUUCACUGGACUGCAACUGACACUGAGGCUCGAAAGUGUGGGUAUCAAACAGGAUUAGAUACCCCUGUAGUC
rnacentral:rRNA from 1 species